CUCAUUCAUUGCAUCUCCGAAAACGUAGAGAAAGUAAGUUCUUUGUAGGUAACGGUAAUCAUAGCUGAAAAUGAAAACUAUUGUAUUGAUGGCGUUUCUUGCUCUCUUAUCAGCUGAAACACUGGGUAAUACUGUGCUUGUAGACUGGCCUACAUUAAAAAACCUGCUUGUGCGUCAGGUUGACAAGGGUGUAGAAAAUUUUGCUUCUGCUACUGCUAAUGAUAAUAUUUUUAAAGUCGUCGAAGAAACGUGCCCAAAAUGCAGUUACGAGCAAAAAUUCAAGAUGGCCUCAUGGAUUAACGCGUUUCAAAACGGUGUUUCUAUAGAAGAGGCGAACAAAUUGUAUAAUCCUGAUAACAAAUACUUCGAUACAGCUUUCAUCAAUAAAUAAAUGUUUAUUUAAACUAAAGUGGCUUAUAA